CCGGUUACUCGAUCAGUCGCAGUAAAAAACGAACCGCCAACGUGCUCGCUAUAUAGGUACCUAGUGUAAUUUCGCUAUACAUAACAGCCACAGAGCAUGUGAUGUUUUCAUACACGUAACGGUUAUUAUUAAAACAAAAUUUAUUUACAAUGUUCAAAAUGGUUUGUUCGAAUCUAUUUUCAUUUAUUGUGUGUUCUAUUUUAAUAAGUUCAUCGCUGUCGGCCACUAGGAUAAUAAAAGAAUCACACAUGAAUGCUCGCUUGAAGAGAGUAAGUCCAGAAAAUACUGUAGUGUACGGUUCUCGCACGCAGGACCGGAGGGACUCGUCGGCGGACAGCCAACAGUUCUUGCCGGCGUUCGGGCCGCUGUUCGGCCAACUCGGCCACCACUCCCGUCCGCCCCGGCUGUACCAGGAGGCCGACUACCUGCCCGAGCUGACGCCGUUCUUGCAGACGGCCGCGGCGUCCAACCAAGAGAACGCCAUGCUGGGCUCGGGCAACUUCGGUGUCAUACCCGGUGGCACGUACUACGCGGCCGGCGAGACAGCGUCCGCGUCCGACCCGUACCUGUACGACGGCAACAGUCAUGGACGACCGCACCGGUACGUUCAGGGGCACCGAAUAAAUGGCAAUAGGUUUUCCGGAAAUCCUAGACCAUCAGCAUUCCGUGACCCAGAUGACUUCUUUGCAGGGUUCCGAGACUUUGCUGAUAUCACAGCUCCGACCAAGUCAUCAUUCUCACAAUACCAUAUGGUAUAUGCUCCGAUGGAGGAUUUACCGUCGAGUGAAGAAAAGGUAAAGUCGAAAAAGAAGAGGAAGUUAAACAAACAUUUAGAGAAUGAAAAUGAUAAAACAAUUAAAGCUAAAAGAAAAAUGCACAUGGGUGAAAAGGAAUUAUACGAACCAAUGAUUGCGCUAAGUUAGUCGGUAUGAUACAAGAAUGAAUAAUGAAGAAAUUAUUAUUAUUAUUAUUAUUAUUAUUAUUUCGAAGUACAAAGUAUUGGAAUUUUUUUUCUAUCGACUAUAUUAUACACAUAUGGGUACAAAAAAGAAGUGCCCCAACUACCAAAGUUUGUGAGCUCGAUUACUUACAUCUCAUGGUUUUGGCAUUUAAAAUGUUUUAUUUAACAAAAUAGAUCCAUCAAAAACAUGGUUUCCCAAUGGUACUAUACUAUUAUAUACUGUGUUAAUAUUAUUUUAUUAGGUACUUAUAUAUUAAUAUAAUAUAAUAUUAUUAUGAAUCAUGACGUAUUAAUAGGUCAUAUUCAAAUUAAAAUAAAUAUUGUUUGUAUGCUUAGUUAUUAUUUUAUUAUUGUAUAAAAAUACCAAAUACCUAGUUGUAUACUGUUUUGAACUAAUGUAUAAUAAUUUGUAAAUAUAUAUUUUUUUAAAUAAAUGUUAAAAAUUGUUUGAAAAUA